UUUUCCCUCUGAACUUUGUCAGGGUCACUGAGCUGACCCUUGUUUUCACAUGUGUCCUGCCCCGUUACAUUUUGUCCCCUCCCCUCAUGUGUUCACUUGCCCCUCCCACUAACACGCUCCUCUGCUCUCUUCUCUCCUCUCACUCUCUUCCUCUCUCUCUGGAACACUCAACCCACAGGCGUGCAGAGGAGACACUCCCACACACAGCAACUCUACAGACAUGUCAGACUCCGAGACCGCCGCUCCCGCUGAGGCCCCCGUCCCUGCCGCAUGUGCAAGCAUCAAGGCGGACCUGGACAAAUGUGUGAAGGAGGGCGGUGACUGUAAGGAUCUGAUGGAGGCGUUUGCAGCCUGUCUGAAGAGUGCAGCGGAGGCGUCGUGAGGAGGGGAGGAGCUAGACUCACAGGAAAGGUCCACUGCAUUGAGUCCUCCAUGUUUCCCAGUAUUCCCUUCUGCACAACGAGCACUGGGCUGAAUGAUAGUGGCGGUGUUCGGCACCUGGCAGAAACCCUCCACCUCUUACCUCCCUCCCCAACCCCCCCUCGAAGCUUAAAUGGUGUCUUCCGAUUUGUACCCCUGCUCUGCUCCCACCGUGGCUGAGUACAACCAUUGGUAGACAAUUCCUGGAGAGCCUAUGGGUUGUAUGUAAAUUGUCCACUUGAGAUGCAUACAUUUAAAAUGGAAUAAUAAAGUCUAAAAGAAAUUGG